rnacentral:rRNA from 1 species
UACGUAGGGGGCAAGCGUUGUCCGGAUUUAUUGGGCGUAAAGAGCGUGUAGGCGGCUGGGUAGGUCCGUUGUGAAAACUCGAGGCUCAACCUCGAGACGCCGAUGGAAACCCCCCAGCUAGAGUCCGGAAGAGGAGAGUGGAAUUCCUGGUGUAGCGGUGAAAUGCGCAGAUAUCAGGAAGAACACCCGUGGCUAAGGCGGCUCGUUACACGAACAUUGACUCUGAGGCUCGAAAGCGUGGGGAUCAAACAGG